AACUCUUAAAUUGAUUACGUAGCAAAUCCCAACAAAAGAGAAUGCCGAAACAAAUUUGGCCAGUAAGUGCAAAACGAAUUGUUUCCCGCGCUUAAACAUUUAUAUUGUACUGAAUAUUUACCUUGCAUCGGAAAUUGUACAACGAACGCGAGUAAAGUAUUUUAAUUAAAUGAAGAGCACAUUUUUACGAUUGUAAAUUGUGAAUACUUUGUAGUUUAUAUUUCUGUACAAAUUGCUGAAAACUCCCAUUAAACGAAAACUUUGCUGAUUGUUCCGUCCCGUCUGGAAGUACAAACUAUUGCAGUCCAAGCCAUCGGAAUCGAGAUGCACAAGCCGUAGUUGGAGCCACAAAGCAUAAUUCAAUUUGGUCAAUCAACUGCAACACUUGAGCAGUUAGUUUACUGCCGAGCACAAAUAACCGGCUCUCAUCUGACCGACUGCCUAUUGAACACGAUGAAUUUAUGGCUCAACAUUUUAGCAGAUGAUUGAUGGGAGUUUCGGAGCAGACGCGGGUACAGGUCCUACCAUCCCACCUAGUUUCAAUGUGUGCCUUUGCCCCAGCCUCUAUCUGGCAGUCCAUGCAAAUGCCAAAUGCUAAUGAAUUCAUUCAACAUACAACUUCAAAAGUCAUAAAUACUCCGAGUGCCG
rnacentral:lncRNA from 1 species